CAUCGGGCGGAUGCAUAAUUGACACGCACGCACACGCAUGCACCAUUUCCCAUGUGCGCAGUUCACUGCAGUCAGGUGUCUUUUUAAUGCAGCUGCUUCUUCUUACUCCCCCUUCUGAUUAGACACAAACACACACACACACACAUCGACACACAUCCUCCUACGAGGUCCUAAUGGUCAGAAGUGAUUGAGGCAUGCAAGCUUUUUCAAUGUCGCAGCAAACAUAUUUCAACCCCCAAAGACCCUGAGACACACACACACACACACACACGCGUAAGCCAUAUGCCGUCAUGGUGCCUUUGCUACAGAAACGCUUGAACACGUCGUGAGAAACCUUUUGAAUAUGGCUUUGCUGACUCAGCAGUCCUCUGCAUGGUGAGAAAUGGGAAGACGCGGACGGAGAGAGAGAGAGAGAGAGAGAGAGAGAGAGAGAGAGACGGAGACUUGCUAACAGAUGAAAUACUGCAGUGAAGCAGCCUCAUGUGACUCCUCCCUCCCUCCCUCCCUGAUUUGGAUCCCUCCCCCUCCUUCUUUCCUCUUGCAUCCUCGACCCCCCCUGCCCCCCCUCGCCUCAUUGCCUGCCGCACCUCCUACGUCCUCUGUCCCAUAACUACCGUGAAAAUGAGAUUUGGUUUCUCCCCCUCUACACUCUCUGCCCCCCUCCAAGCCCAUCAUUCUCUCGUUCUCAUACGCACUUGUUUUUCCCUCCAUUGUUGCCUACUCCAACAAGGUCAUUGCAGAAAAAAAAAAGAGAGACGUUGCCACGGUUGCUAGGCAGCAGGGUUAUUAUAGAAGAGUGAAUCACCGCUGCGCUGACUGUUGCUUAUUUAAUACAGACAAUCAGAGGACCAACCUUAGAAGACCAUCUUCGUACGUAUCUGGCACCUGAUUUUGGACAAAGUAAGUAUGUCAUGAGAAACUGUACCUGUAACGGUGAAAAAAAAACAUCUAUUACAAUAAAGGAACCGUGCCACAACUUUUGGGGUUUUUAUUGUCGGCUUUAAUCACAGUUUUAUGUUGAAGUUGUACAUUGUUGUGACAUAUUUCCACCCUUUUUUGCUCUUUACUGACGCUUUUGACUAAUUAUGAAGUGAUCAAUCCCACAGUGUUGAAAUACACAAUACACCAGAGUUUAAUGCAGGCCUGUCAACAUUAACGUGUGAAUCUAUGCAAUGAAUGUGUCAAUUUUUGCGAUAAAAUAUUUUAAAGCAGUUAACGCAACUUGCAAUUAAUAAAUGAAUGAAAAUGUGUGAUUAAUUGCACGUUUUUUUAAAGUGAAUUCUUUUUAAUCUAUUGACAGCCCUGGUUUAGUGAUUGUAAAGUUGUAUGCAGACGAAUGAUGGGAUUGAUCCCUCAGAUGUUGGGCUUCUUAUUUCUUUCUGCACCCUGAGGACCUCAGAGAGGGGCUGAGUGAGAAGAAGGAAGAGCAACUCGGAAAUUUCAGACAGCGGGAGCAGUUUAGCAGUUUCUCAAUUUUGCUGCUUUAUUUAGCUCACAAGUACUCACAAGUAAAAUGAAUUGUUAACCAGAUUCAUCGUCUAAAUAAGACACAAGAUUCUCAUUAUUUUGUAUAUGUGUAAAAACACACACACUCACAAUCACACACACAUUAAACAGUUUUAAAAACACAUUUGUAAAUGUACUUAUCUUUGUAUCCAGAGGAGGGUGCUGUGACUCCAUCAUUCACAGAUGAACGCCUUGGAAUAAAACGUUCAUGUUUAAACAUUACUGAUGAGACUUCUCUCUGAACCAAUGUACAGAGCAAGUUAUAAAGCAUUAUUAUAAGCUCCCAACAAAAGGGAAAAAAAGGUCCUACAUUUGGUCUGUGGAAGUUGUCCUAAUGAGAUGAAAUCUUUUCAAUUUUAAGUCCACUCUCAUCC